rnacentral:tRNA from 1 species
UCCGAUAUGGUCUAGUGGCUAGGAUUUGCCGCUCUCACCGGCAAGGCCCGGGUAAGUUCAAUCACCACGAGUUAAUCCUAACACUCAUUCUAAUUCGCCUUUAGGUUCGAUUCCCGGUGUCGGAA